CGGCAAAUUCCUUCAAGGUAUCUUGCUAACUGGACGAGUGCUGCACAACAAGCUUCUUCGAGGCUGUCUAAGUCUAGACGCCUUGUUUCUUCAACUGCACCUUCCUCAUACUGCUUGACUACUGGAGAUUUCCACAUCAUGUCGGCGGGGAGAACGGCUUCUGAUCCGUAGACCAGGAAGUAGGGCGAGUACCCUGUAGGCUUGCAUGGUUGUGUGCAAACCCCCAAAGGACAUUGGGUAGCUCCUUGAGCCACUUGCUACCUUUGGUGUUUCUAAUGUCAUGUAGUCUUUUCUUCCAAGCUUACAGUAACAUCCCAUUGGCACGCUCAACCUGGCUAUUGGCCCGCGGAUGAGCAAC
rnacentral:lncRNA from 1 species